UGCACGCAUGACUGUAAGUGGCUUCGGAUAAAAGCAUCUGCUAAAUGGCAUAUA
rfam:Salmo salar isolate Sally breed double haploid chromosome ssa10, whole genome shotgun sequence.